rnacentral:rRNA from 1 species
AGAGUUUGAUCCUGGCUCAGGACGAACGCUGGCGGCGUGCCUAAUACAUGCAAGUCGAGCGGGGUUAUUUAGAAGCUUGCUUCUAAACAACCUAGCGGCGGACGGGUGAGUAACACGUAGGCAACCUGCCCACAAGACAGGGAUAACUACCGGAAACGGUAGCUAAUACCCGAUACAUCCUUUUCCUGCAUGGGAGAAGGAGGAAAGACGGAGCAAUCUGUCACUUGUGGAUGGGCCUGCGGCGCAUUAGCUAGUUGGUGGGGUAAAGGCCUACCAAGGCGACGAUGCGUAGCCGACCUGAGAGGGUGAUCGGCCACACUGGGACUGAGACACGGCCCAGACUCCUACGGGAGGCAGCAGUAGGGAAUCUUCCGCAAUGGGCGAAAGCCUGACGGAGCAACGCCGCGUGAGUGAUGAAGGUUUUCGGAUCGUAAAGCUCUGUUGCCAGGGAAGAACGUCUUGUAGAGUAACUGCUACCAAGAGUGACGGUACCUGA